rnacentral:rRNA from 1 species
GACGAACGCUGGCGGCACGCUUAACACAUGCAAGUCGAACGAGAGAGAAGAUUAGCUUGCUAAACUUCGAUCUAGUGGCGGACGGGUGAGUAACACGUGAGGAACCUGCCUAUCAGAGAGGGAUACCGUUUGGAAACGAACGUUAAUACCACAUAACGUAACGAUACCGCAUGGUAAUGUUACCAAAGAUUUAUCGCUGAUAGAUGGCCUCGCGUCUGAUUAGAUAGUUGGUGAGGUAACGGCUCACCAAGGCGACGAUCAGUAGCCGGACUGAGAGGUUGACCGGCCACAUUGGGACUGAGAUACGGCCCAGACUCCUACGGAGGCAGCAGUGGGGAAUAUUGGGCAAUGGGCGAAAGCCUGACCCAGCAACGCCGCGUGAAGGAGAAGG